rnacentral:rRNA from 1 species
UUAGAGUUUGAUCAUGGCUCAGAACGUACGCUGGCGGCACGCCUAACACAUGCAAGUCGAACGAAGUAGCAAUACUUAGUGGCAGACGGGUGAGUAACAUGUGGGUAUCUGCCCUUUGGCCUGGAAUAACACGAGGAAACUUGUGCUAAUACUGGAUAAGUCUUUACGGAGAAAGCUUUAUGCACCAUUGGAUGAGCCCGCACUUGAUUAGUUUGUUGGUGGGGUAAUGGCCUACCAAGACUGUGAUCAAUAGCUGAUUUGAGAGGAUGAUCAGCCACAUUGGGACUGAGACACGGCCCAAACUCCUACGGGGGGCAGCAGUGGGGAAUCUUGCACAAUGGAGGAAACUCUGAUGCAGCGAUGCCGCGUGAGUGAAGAAGGCCCUUGGGUUGUAAAGCUCUUUCGUCGGGGAAGAAAAUGACUGUACCCGAAUAAGAAGGUCCGGCUAACUUCGUGCCAGCAGCCGCGGUAAUACGAAGGGACCUAGCGUAGUUCGGAAUUACUGGGCUUAAAGAGUUCGUAGGUGGUUGAAAAAGUUGGUGGUGAAAUCCCAGAGCUUAACUCUGGAACUGCCAUCAAAACUUUUCAGCUAGAGUUUGAUAGAGGAAAGCAGAAUUUCUAGUGUAGAGGUGAAAUUCGUAGAUAUUAGAAAGAAUACCAAUUGCGAAGGCAGCUUUCUGGAUCAUUACUGACACUGAGGAACGAAAGCAUGGGUAGCGAAGAGGAUUAGAUACCCUCGUAGUCCAUGCCGUAAACGAUGUGUGUUAGACGUUGGAAAUUUAUUUUCAGUGUCGCAGCGAAAGCGAUAAACACACCGCCUGGGGAGUACGACCGCAAGGUUAAAACUCAAAUGAAUUGACGGGGACCCGCACAAGUAGUGGAGCAUGUGGUUUAAUUCGAAGAUACGCGCAGAACCUUACCAACACUUGACAUGUUCGUCGCGACUUUAAGAGAUUAAAGUUUUCGGUUCGGCCGGACGAAACACAGGUGCUGCAUGGCUGUCGUCAGCUCGUGUCGUGAGAUGUUGGGUUAAGUCCCGCAACGAGCGCAACCCUCACUUUUAGUUGCCAUCAUUAAGUUGGGCACUCUGAAAGAACUGCCAGUGAUAAGCUGGAGGAAGGUGGGGAUGACGUCAAGUCCUCAUGGCCCUUACGUGUUGGGCUACACACGUGCUACAAUGGUAUCUACAACAGGAAGCGAAACAGCGAUGUUAAGCAAAUCCUUAAAAGAUACCUCAGUUCGGAUUGCACUCUGCAACUCGAGUGCAUGAAGCUGGAAUUACUAGUAAUCGUGGAUCAGCGUGCCACGGUGAAUGCGUUCCGCGGGUCUUGUACACACCGCCCGU